rnacentral:lncRNA from 1 species
CUAACUCAAUGUACCAACGACUAGAAAUAUUUUAGGUUAGAGCUAUUAAGGAUUUAGAUCUCACUGGUGUGAUCUCAUCACGGCCCUAAAACUAUUUUUCGGACCUAUUGGGUUCAUUAUAAUCUAAGAACAAUAAGAUGCAGCAUAUAAUUAAUCAAAAAUAUCUUAUUUUAUUAAUAAUAUAAAUAUCAAUUAAAUG